UACGUAGGUGGCGAGCGUUGUCCGGAUUUACUGGGCGUAAAGGGAGCGUAGGCGGACUUUUAAGUGAGAUGUGAAAUACCUGGGCUCAACUUGGGUGCUGCAUUUCAAACUGGAAGUCUAGAGUGCAGGAGAGGAGAAUGGAAUUCCUAGUGUAGCGGUGAAAUGCGUAGAGAUUAGGAAGAACACCAGUGGCGAAGGCGAUUCUCUGGACUGUAACUGACGCUGAGGCUCGAAAGCGUGGGGAGCAAACAGGAUUAGAUACCCCGGUA
rnacentral:rRNA from 1 species